GAAGCAUCAGAUGAUAGUGUAUCAAUAUAUAAAUAUAUAUACAGUCAUCCAAAAAUAAAGUAUUUCAAAAGCUUUACCCAAUUAUAAAGUCUUUCAAAAUACAUGGUAAAGGAAGAUCAAUAGAAAACUAAGGGUAAAAACUGCAAACUAAGAAGCUAUUGAAUACUAGGUGUUGGUUCCUCANUGUCUAGUGCUUGCUCUAAGGGAGUAUCAUCUGCUGCAUCUGCUCACAUCCAUANCAGGAUGAUCAUCGCAAGAGGAAAGACCAGGAACAUACAAAACAAACAACAUACAAGUGCAAGGGUGAGCUAAGUUGAAAAGCAUGCAAGAUAAGUCCAAAUUCAAACUAACAUAUACUUAACAGUAUGCAUACAGGCAAGCAAAAUAGACAUUCUAUCAGAUUAUACAUUAAAUGGAAUUAACUAUCAUGUUAUACAAUCACACACACAACAUGUAAAGACCAUAACACAAUACAAACUAAGACCGAACACAAUUUAUUGAUACUAAUGACUGACCAUGUGAUUUAACCGUCCGGACUAGUAUGAAAUGUCGAGUUCCAGGGGUUUGUGCACUUGUGGUGGCCCUACUGCUUUGCAAAGCCAUUGCCGAGGGGUUUCACCCGACCACACACAAGUGUAAGUCCAACCAAACUCAUCUUGGCCCAUAUAAAAUGGAGACACCCAAGACUAGGACCUCCUCCUAUUCUCACCACAUGACUCAUCACUCUCUAAUUGAGCAUGAAUGAUCAUUAGAAUGUCAAGGUAAACCCCAUCCUGAACUCCGACCAUUCAUACGGUCAAUCACGACAAACUACAGUGGCACCACCAUGUAACCUCCCUUGAGGAUCAUGGAAUUACGUCCAAUAACCAUACUUUGUACAUACAAGCUUUCCAACCAUAAUUCACAACGUAAUACUUCAUACUCUUAACCAUGUUGCACAAACAUCCUUUAGUUAUGUUAUCAAAACAACUCAAACAUUACAUACUUUCACAAAACAUCACUUAUUAACACAAAUAACUUUAUAAUACUAAUUACCAAUAUUUAAGUAAUUCAAAUGGCUUGGAGACCCUCACAAAUGGAUCCGGAAGGGUAAAAAACCCUCAGAACGACCUAAAGAACGUCCAAAACGGACAUUUGGAACUCUCAAAACGUCAAAAACAUCAAAAAUACACAUUCUGUCGCAGAAAAUUCGCUGAGCGCACACCCUGUGGUGCGCUGAGCGAAUUUUCUCUGCUAAAAAUCAUUCGCAGAGCGCACAGAGUGCGCUGUGCGACUCUGUAUAAUCUGCAGAGCGAAUUUCUGCAGAUUUUAGGAACUCACACACCCAGAAUUUGUUCUAGGCCAAAUUAUGAACUUUGGAUGAUCCUAACUCGACCUCUAUGAUGUUUUAGACUUGUCUAGAUGUUUCUAAUCUAUCCUAACACAAUUCUCUAGCUGAUAUGCAUGGAUUUACCUCCUAAAAUUUCCAUUUCAUGAACCUAAGGGUCCAAUUCUGAUUUUACCAAUUCCAAGUUAAUUCAGACCAAUUUGGCACUUGUUAUAAGUCAUAAGUGACUUGUCUAAAGGUUCUAAANUGACCAAAACAGUAUAUCCUACCAGAUUCAAAUUAUAGCUACUCUAGUUCCUUUAAUUAAGCCUAAAAUGCCUAAAUCACUAAAUCUUUUACCUAUUAUUCUAGACAGCUGAAUUCUAUUCAUCAUUGUUCAAAAUUUUGCAUUCCAUCUAUUAUAUCCAAUCUAAUACACAAUCAUUCAUCAUGAAUCAAAGGUACAUUUCUCAUCCCACAGUACAAACAGUUUCAUAUACAUGAACGGAGUUCAAACACCACAAUCGGAAAAUAACCUCUUUACACACAUGCAGUAAAAUUUCACAUAACUAUGAUACAUUUCUACAAUCAAACAAUUGCAAUACACUCAAUACUAGCUUCCCUUACCUUGAGAUGAAGAAAUUCUAGCUCCCAAAGACAAAUUGCCGCACCGAAUAACCCGGAAGACCCUAGUAUCUCCCACAGAUCAGUAAUUGAAACCAAGAAACAAAUUCAGAACUUAGAUGAGGCUGGAAUUUUGGGGAAAAACCCAAAUGGAUCACAUGCAAUCAGAUUAUUUGCAUGUUUGCAGUUUUGAGAUGAACAUGAGAAGAGAAUCCACUUACCGGUCGGAUGGAAGGAAUUGACCGGUGGAAUUGGGAACCCUUUGCGUCGGGAUUUCAGGAACAACACCUAGUCAAUUUUAUACGGGAUCAGUGAGAGGAAAAUUUGAGAAAGAAGGUUGAGGGAAAUGAAGGAGUUGAGAACUG
rnacentral:lncRNA from 1 species